UACGUAGGUGGCUAGCGUUGUCCGGAUUUACUGGGCGUAAAGAGCGCGCAGGCGGUCGGUCAAGUCGGGUGUGAAAGCCCCCGGCUCAACUGGGGAGGGUCACUCGAUACUGAUCGACUUGAAGGCGGGAGAGGGAAGCGGAAUUCCCGGUGUAGUGGUGAAAUGCGUAGAUAUCUGGAGGAACACCGGUGGCGAAGGCGGCUCUCUGGGCCAUUACUGACGCUGAGGUGCGAAAGCUAGGGGAGCAAACGGG
rnacentral:rRNA from 1 species